rnacentral:rRNA from 1 species
UACGAAGGGGGCUAGCGUUGUUCGGAAUUACUGGGCGUAAAGCGCGCGCAGGCGGUUUUUCAAGUCAGUGGUGAAAUCCUGGAGCUCAACUCCAGAACUGCCUUCGAUACUGGCGAUCUCGAGUCCGGAAGAGGUGAGUGGAACUCCUAGUGUAGAGGUGGAAUUCGUAGAUAUUAGGAAGAACACCAGUGGCGAAGGCGGCUCACUGGUCCGGUACUGACGCUGAUGUGCGAAAGCGUGGGGAGCAAACAGG